rnacentral:lncRNA from 10 species
CCCGCCUGCUCAGAGUCCCGACCCGGCCCGCGGCGAGCGUCCGGGGAAGGAAUCCUCCGGCACCUGGGCCCUGCACCGACACCCGCGGGUGCGGCAGAGGGCUUCUCCCCGUGCUCCUCCACCCCUGGGGGGAGCGCGACCCUCUCUGGGCGGAGUGGGGGAUCCCGGGGCCGGCGCCUCCUGGCGGAGUUGGGGGAGGGGAACCACCUGGAGCCUGGAGGCCGUGCGAGGGCGAGGUGGGCGGACCAGCCCGGGAGGACUGACGUUGGAGGGUGAGAAGAGCCUUUCCUGGCCUCUCUGUCUAAAAGCACCCUGCGGAGCACAGUGGCUUACACCUGUAACCUCAGCACUCAGGGAAGCCAAGGCCGGAGGAGCAGUUGAGCUCAGGAGUCGGAGACCAGCCUGUGCAACCUGGGAGAACUUUCUACAAAAUAAAAAAAUUAGCGGAGCAUGGUGGCACACACCUGUAAUCCCAGCUACGGGGCGGGGCGGCGAGUGGGGAGCAGGCUGGACAAUGGAGUGAGAUCCUGUCUUAAAACACAAAAUAAAAGCAGCUCUCACUCAAGCUCCUGACUGCUGCCUUGUCCUAAUUUUCUUCUGAGCAUUUGUCACUGUAUGUGUGUGUGUAUGUGUGUAUGUGUAUAUAUAUAUGUGUGUGUGUAUAUGUGUAUGUGUGUAUAUAUGUGUGUGUUUAUAUUUAAAUGUAAGUUUAUAAAGAAAUGUUUACAUGUAAUGUGUUAUAUUUAUAGACAUGUUUAUAUGAAUGCAUAAAAUUUGUAUUUAUGUAAACUUAUAAAUAUGUAUAUACAUUAUAUAUAAAUGGAAUAAAAAACAUAAAUAACAU